GCUCGUUAACUUAGUUGGUAAAGUACUCGUCUGGCAUACAAGAGUCGUGGGUUCGAAUCUCCUAAGCA
rnacentral:tRNA from 1 species